rnacentral:lncRNA from 11 species
UAUUAUUAUAUAUAUUAUUAUAUUAGUAUUAUUAUUAUACUAUACAACUGUUAUUACCAAUUUCCUUUGCUCAACCAACAUCUUUUUUGCCUUUCCUCAGGAUAAGGAGCCAUUGCGGACCAUCCUUCUCAAAGACGUGCUGAAAGUUCACGAAUGCCUUGUCAAAUCUGGAGACCUCCUAAUGCGGGACAAUCUCUUCGAAGUCACCACAAGCUAUAGGACCUUCUAUAUCCAGGUAAAAAAAGACCAGCCUUCUAGAACUAUCACUUUUCAACUACCAUCAUCCUUCCACAUUUGUGGUUUAUAUUUUUUACUUUUUUACUUUUAAAGAUGCUCAAAGUGAGUUUUGCCCACCCCAAUUCUGAACUAUUUGUAAAAUACUGUGACUGAGGAGACCAAAUUGUAAAACAGAAGGAAGUAUCUUGAAAGCUAGGCUUAUGUAUGGCUCCUGUUUCCAUAGAUAGUUAAAGUAUUUAUCCAAGAAACUUCUACUAUGGGUUGGAAUAAUGAGUUAGUAUUGCCCAAAGAGAGAGUCACAACAUAGAAAGGUUGUUGUUGUUAUGUUGUUGUUGUUUAGGUUUAUUAUGUUUAUUUAUACCCCACUUUUUCUCUCCACAAGGAGACUUGGGUUACUUUUAUUGUUUUUAUUACCUUUAUCCGGUUAUUAUGGUUUUUAUUGUAUAAUUGUGUUUGGAUUUGUUUAUUUUACUUGAUUGUCGUGUUGCUUUUGUUUUAUAUGUUUUAACUUGUUAUACCUUGUUCUUCUUAGCCGCCCCGAGUCUCUUCGAGUAGAUGGUGACGGGAUAUAAAAAUAAAGUAUUAUUAUUAUUAUUAUUAUUAUUAUUAUUAUUAUUGACACAACGAUGUUGUAUGACACAGCAAACAAGAUAGACAUGCUGGAUUUCGUUUCACAAAACCACAAGUCGAACACUUCCCAAGUGUCUAGGACUGUGUGAUGUAUUUUCGGAUGAUGCGUGCAGAUCCCAGCAGGGUGGCCUUUUGCAGUUGGCAGAUCGUAAUUUUGUCAAUGUCUAUUAUUAUUAUUAUUAUUAUUAUUAUUAUUAUUAUUAUUAUUAUUAUUAUUUUACUAUAACUUGAACCAUUCCACAGCUCCCAAAAUUUCCAAAGUCACAUUGUGAGGCACAGAGAUCAACACUGCCCUAUAUCCCAGAUCUACACUGCCCUAUAAUCCAGUAUUUGACUCCAAAUAUUAUCCGUUUAUCACAGAUUAUCUGGCAGUGUAGACUCAUAUAAUCCAGUUCAAAGCAGGUAAUCUGAAAUCGGUGUCAGAGUUAUGGUUUGUGCGGUAUUAAAUGUUCACUCAUUGUUAAAGCUAGUGUGUGUGCAAUUCCAGUAAGGUGGGGUAGGUAAAGUUUUCCCCUGACGUUAAGUCCAGUCGUGUCCGACUCUGGAGGUUGGUGCUCAUCUCUAUUUCUAAGCCGAAGAGCCGGCGUUGUCCGUAGACAACUCCAAGGUCAUGUGGCCAUUGGCAUGACUGCAUGGAGCACUGUUACCUUCCCGCCGGAGGGACCUAUUGAUCUACUC